UUAAUUCUUUCAGUGAAGCGGCUGCGUGUUAACGCGUGCAGUCGUUUUUCUUGUGAACUGGGGUUGUUGCUUGAGUUUAAUCGCUUUAAGUGGCAGCCUGUCGUUAAUGCUCUUGUGUUAAUUUUUUUUUGUUUUUGCUUUUUUAAGCUUAACCGCUUAAGAAAAUAAUUACAAGA
rnacentral:misc_RNA from 1 species